CUGUUUGUGGUUGAUAGGAGAAAUGAAAAGAUGGUGGCUAAUCUCUUGAAAAAAGGGUGAUGCCUAUGGUUCAUAGAGGGGGUAGGCAAGUGUCAAGUUUUGAAGCAAUGCAACUGAUGAUCGCUUUUGCGACGUUAGUUUUGCUGAUUAUUGACCAUAA
rnacentral:sRNA from 1 species